rnacentral:rRNA from 1 species
AUUGAACGCUGGCGGCAUGCCUUACACAUGCAAGUCGAACGGCAGCGGGGGAGAAGCUUGCUUUUCCUGCCGGCGAGUGGCGAACGGGUGAGUAAUACAUCGGAACGUGCCCUGUAGUGGGGGAUAACUAGUCGAAAGAUUAGCUAAUACCGCAUACGACCUGAGGGUGAAAGUGGGGGACCGCAAGGCCUCAUGCUAUAGGAGCGGCCGAUGUCUGAUUAGCUAGUUGGUGGGGUAAAGGCCUACCAAGGCGACGAUCAGUAGCUGGUCUGAGAGGAUGAUCAGCGACACUGGGACUGAGACACGGCCCAGACUCCUACGGGAGGCAGCAGUGGGGAAUUUUGGACAAUGGGCGAAAGCCUGAUCCAGCAAUGCCGCGUGUGUGAAGAAGGCCUUCGGGUUGUAAAGCACUUUUGUCCGGAAAGAAAUGGCUCUGGUUAAUACCUGGGGUCGAUGACGGUACCGGAAGAAUAAGGACCGGCUAACUACGUGCCAGCCGCCGCGGUAA